rnacentral:rRNA from 1 species
GACGAACGCUGGCGGCGUGCUUAACACAUGCAAGUCGAACGGAAAGGCCCUGCUUUUGUGGGGUGCUCGAGUGGCGAACGGGUGGGUAACACGUGAGUAACCUGCCCUUGACUUUGGGAUAACUUCAGGAAACUGGGGCUAAUACCGGAUAGGAGCUCCUGCUGCAUGGUGGGGGUUGGAAAGUUUCGGCGGUUGGGGAUGGACUCGCGGCUUAUCAGCUUGUUGGUGGGGUAGUGGCUUACCAAGGCUUUGACGGGUAGCCGGCCUGAGAGGGUGACCGGCCACAUUGGGACUGAGAUACGGCCCAGACUCCUACGGGAGGCAGCAGUGGGGAAUAUUGCACAAUGGGCGGAAGCCUGAUGCAGCAACGCCGCGUGCGGGAUGACGGCCUUCGGGUUGUAAACCGCUUUCGCCUGUGACGAAGCGUGAGUGACGGUAAUGGGUAAAGAAGCACCGGCUAACUACGUGCCAGCAGCCGCGGUGAUACGUAGGGUGCGAGCGUUGUCCGGAUUUAUUGGGCGUAAAGGGCUCGUAGGUGGUUGAUCGCGUCGGAAGUGUAAUCUUGGGGCUUAACCCUGAGCGUGCUUUCGAUACGGGUUGACUUGAGGAAGGUAGGGGAGAAUGGAAUUCCUGGUGGAGCGGUGGAAUGCGCAGAUAUCAGGAGGAACACCAGUGGCGAAGGCGGUUCUCUGGGCCUUUCCUGACGCUGAGGAGCGAAAGCGUGGGGAGCGAACAGGCUUAGAUACCCUGGUAGUCCACGCUGUAAACGGUGGGUACUAGGUGUGGGGUCCAUUCCACGGGUUCCGUGCCGUAGCUAACGCUUUAAGUACCCCGCCUGGGGAGUACGGCCGCAAGGCUAAAACUCAAAGGAAUUGACGGGGCCCCGCACAAGCGGCGGAGCAUGCGGAUUAAUUCGAUGCAACGCGUAGAACCUUACCUGGGUUUGACAUGGAUCGGGAGCGCUCAGAGAUGGGUGUGCCUCUUUUGGGGUCGGUUCACAGGUGGUGCAUGGCUGUCGUCAGCUCGUGUCGUGAGAUGUUGGGUUAAGUCCCGCAACGAGCGCAACCCUUGUUCACUGUUGCCAGCACGUUAUGGUGGGGACUCAGUGGAGACCGCCGGGGUCAACUCGGAGGAAGGUGGGGAUGACGUCAAGUCAUCAUGCCCCUUAUGUCCAGGGCUUCACGCAUGCUACAAUGGCUGGUACAGAGAGUGGCGAGCCUGUGAGGGUGAGCGAAUCUCGGAAAGCCGGUCUCAGUUCGGAUUGGGGUCUGCAACUCGACCUCAUGAAGUCGGAGUCGCUAGUAAUCGCAGAUCAGCAACGCUGCGGUGAAUACGUUCCCGGG